GGAUGCCCCGUUAAAUCUGAAUUUCACAUAAACAAGCAAGAUUUUUUUUUUUACUUUAAUCAUGUCUGAAACAUUGCAUGGGACAUACUUAUUCUAAAAAAACAGUAUGUGUUGUUUAUCUGAAAUUCACA
rnacentral:miRNA from 1 species